AUAAAGUUCCUUCGGGUAAGAAGUACUACUUGUCAUCAAAAUGGAUAAAAGGAGAUCUAUCUAGACGUAUUUUAGUUCUAGAUACAUCCCUUUUUAUCCAUUUUGAUGACAAGUAUUUUCGGACGGAGGGAGCUUAUA
rnacentral:pre_miRNA from 1 species